UCGUCAGCUCGUGUCGUGAGAUGUUGGUUGUGUUAUGUCCGCACACACACACACCUUGUCCCUAGUUGCUACGCAAGAGCACUCUAGGGAGAAAGAAAGAAGACAAACCGGAGGAAGGUGGGGAUGACGUCAAGUCCUCAUGGCCCUUAUGGGUAGGGCUUCACACGUCAUACAAUGGUCGGAACAGAGGGUCGCCAACCCGCGAGGGGGAGCCAAUCCCAGAAAACCGAUCGUAGUCCGGAUCGCACUCUGCAACUCGAGUGCGUGAAGCUGGAAUCGCUAGUAAUCGCGGAUCAGCAUGCCGCGGUGAAUACGUUCCCGAGUCUUGUACACACCGCCCGUCACACCAUGGGAGUGGGUUUUACCAGAAGUGGCUAGUCUAACCGCAAGGAGGACGGUCACCACGGUAGGAAUCAUGACUGGGGUGAAGUCGUAACAAGGUAGCCGUA
rnacentral:rRNA from 1 species